AAUUUACAAGUUUGGUAAAGUUUUCGUGUUGAGUGACAGCUGUUUUACUAACUUUUGGGGAAUUUCAAAAGACGAAAAGCUCCUUGAAACAAAGAAGAACAACAGGUAUCCAACACAUCUUGGAAAAUAUGAACAAUAGUUUCAGAUACGGACAUGCCAGUAAACUCGCAUUUGCGUUGGAGAUGGUGGAUAGUUAUGUGUAGUAGCUUGAAGAUCAGUUUAUCUUUAUCACAACAAUAA